AUGGGCUGAGUUGGCAGGAAAGUGUCUGUGGGCGAAUCAAAACUUUGCCACAGUAUCUUACCAUCGGUAUUCUUCAAGAUGAAAUUGCCAGUAUUCAACAGCUGAGCAUGCUGAACAUUUGUGAAGUUGCCACCAGCUUGCCACACAAGCGCGCCAUCAUAA
rnacentral:rRNA from 1 species